GUGUUGCCUCGAAGGGGAGUACUCCCAUCCGGCGGUCGUGUCGUCAAUACGGUCGGACCACUCCGACCCGUACGGCCGGUUCCGCGGACACCGUCCGCGGGGUGGAGGAGACCUUCAGUACCCC
rnacentral:misc_RNA from 1 species